rnacentral:rRNA from 1 species
GACGAACGCUGGCGGCGUGCUUAACACAUGCAAGUCGAACGGAAAGGCCCUGCUUUUGUGGGGUGCUCGAGUGGCGAACGGGUGAGUAACACGUGAGUAACCUGCCCUUGACUUUGGGAUAACUUCAGGAAACUGGGGCUAAUACCGGAUAGGAGCUCCUGCUGCGUGGUGGGGGUUGGAAAGUUUCGGCGGUUGGGGAUGGACUCGCGGCUUAUCAGCUUGUUGGUGGGGUAGUGGCUUACCAAGGCUUUGACGGGUAGCCGGCCUGAGAGGGUGACCGGCCACAUUGGGACUGAGAUACGGCCCAGACUCCUACGGGAGGCAGCAGUGGGGAAUAUUGCACAAUGGGCGGAAGCCUGAUGCAGCAACGCCGCGUGCGGGAUGACGGCCUUCGGGUUGUAAACCGCUUUCGCCUGUGACGAAGCGUGAGUGACGGUAAUGGGUAAAGAAGCACCGGCUAACUACGUGCCAGCAGCCGCGGUGAUACGUAGGGUGCGAGCGUUGUCCGGAUUUAUUGGGCGUAAAGGGCUCGUAGGUGGUUGAUCGCGUCGGAAGUGUAAUCUUGGGGCUUAACCCUGAGCGUGCUUUCGAUACGGGUUGACUUGAGGAAGGUAGGGGAGAAUGGAAUUCCUGGUGGAGCGGUGGAAUGCGCAGAUAUCAGGAGGAACACCAGUGGCGAAGGCGGUUCUCUGGGCCUUUCCUGACGCUGAGGAGCGAAAGCGUGGGGAGCGAACAGGCUUAGAUACCCUGGUAGUCCACGCUGUAAACGGUGGGUACUAGGUGUGGGGUCCAUUCCACGGGUUCCGUGCCGUAGCUAACGCUUUAAGUACCCCGCCUGGGGAGUACGGCCGCAAGGCUAAAACUCAAAGGAAUUGACGGGGCCCCGCACAAGCGGCGGAGCAUGCGGAUUAAUUCGAUGCAACGCGUAGAACCUUACCUGGGUUUGACAUGGAUCGGGAGUGCUCAGAGAUGGGUGUGCCUCUUUUGGGGUCGGUUCACAGGUGGUGCAUGGCUGUCGUCAGCUCGUGUCGUGAGAUGUUGGGUUAAGUCCCGCAACGAGCGCAACCCUUGUUCACUGUUGCCAGCACGUUAUGGUGGGGACUCAGUGGAGACCGCCGGGGUCAACUCGGAGGAAGGUGGGGAUGACGUCAAGUCAUCAUGCCCCUUAUGUCCAGGGCUUCACGCAUGCUACAAUGGCUGGUACAGAGAGUGGCGAGCCUGUGAGGGUGAGCGAAUCUCGGAAAGCCGGUCUCAGUUCGGAUUGGGGUCUGCAACUCGACCUCAUGAAGUCGGAGUCGCUAGUAAUCGCAGAUCAGCAACGCUGCGGUGAAUACGUUCCCGGG